rnacentral:rRNA from 1 species
UACGUAGGGGGCAAGCGUUGUCCGGAUUUAUUGGGCGUAAAGAGCGUGUAGGCGGUUUGGUAGGUCCGUUGUGAAAACUCGAGGCUCAACCUCGAGACGCCGAUGGAAACCAUCAGACUAGAGUCCGGGAAGAGGAGAGUGGAAUUCCUGGUGUAGCGGUGAAAUGCGCAGAUAUCAGGAAGAACACCCGUGGCUAAGGCGGCUCUCUAGUACGGUACUGACGCUGAGACGCGAAAGCGUGGGGAGCGAACAGG